UGCGCCGCACUGGGGAGAGGAAGACAUCGAGUGGCUCCAAGCCAGCUGCUUCACCUGCUACACCUGCUGUGUUGUGCCUCGCAGCGGGAAGGAGGUCAGUGCUGGACAAGCCAUCAGAUCUUUGUCUGCUGCUGGAACUGCUCCGUGAAGCUCCUGCCUUCCCAAGACGGAGCUGGUGCAGUCUUGUAUCCCAUAUGGAGAACGAGUAUUUCAAGGAUUUUGGGGUUCUCUUUGUUCCAGUAGGUUGGUAUCUGGAACAGUUUGUAUCUAGCAGUUAUUUACUUUUUUUUCUCCUCCCUACUGGCAUUCUGUUUGUUAAUAAACCAGGGUAUUUUCCACUUUCAUCUAUUAGUAUUAACUUCUUAUUGGUGUAAUGGGAUUGUUGGAACCUUAAAGUAGACAGCUCAUUCCAGAAUGUUUUCCUUCGAAUUAUCUCAAAUCAACACAAAGCUCCUUCUCCCACUUUGUCGGCAGGAUCCAGUCUUUGUUUGCGGAUGAGUGAUCUCACACUUAAAUAGAUUAAAAUAAACUUUACUUAAGUGGCUCAGCAUAGUAGAUGCUUCAAAGCACUCUCUAUCCUCCCCUUUUAAAAAAGUAUUUUUGUGUUAUCUGCAAAAUGUGGAAGCAAUUUUGUAUUUAUUUUCAGAUCUUUAAUUUUAAGCUUUCUGCUGAUCUCUGUAGAACAUAAUUAGAAAUAACCCACUUAAUAAACCUACACUGACAUCUCCUUUCUACAUCAGUCUGAUAAAUAUUAACUUUUAUAUAUACAAAUUUUUUGCAAUUUUUUAAAUCUUUUUUUAAAAUUCAUAGUGCCUAAAAUGUUAAGUGAAAUUACAAGCCUCUAAAAUUCUAUCACAAUCUUCAUAUCUUCACAUCUUCUAUCUUCAUUCUUCACUGAUCAAACUCAUUAAUUCAUUACUCAGGGUUUGGGUUUUUUUCUUUUUAAAAUUAAGCCGGUUUUGUUCCUUUAAUUUCUUGAGCAUGACAUAAUUGCAUUUCCAUUAUAUUGUUUAUAUGAUGAUGUAAAUCUACAGCCCUUUAGAUCAGCUUUCCUACCCUUUUUUCGUAUAUUGACACUUUAAAGUUCCAUAUGGUGGUUUUUUUAACUCUCUUUACUUUCUACCCAUCUGCUAGCUGAAAAAUUUAUAUAUUCCCCAUUUUUUUCCUCACAGAAAACAGGCAGCAAUCUAAAACAAGAUCAGCAGUCUCUGAACUACAAUAAGUAUAAAGUGUAAAGUUUACCCUUGCUUUCUUAAGUUCACUUUUUUCUGUUAAUACAAUACAAAUAUCUGGUUGGACACAAAGCAAACAAGGUGCAAUGGAGGAAGGAAAUGUUUUUGAAGAGAGUACAAGUGGAGACAGUGCAUAUGAAAACUCAGCAUGAAAAGCAAAUCUAUUUUUCUCAACAAACUUGAAGAGCAGCCUCAGAAGCAUCUGUGUGGAAUCCUGCUGCAGAUCAGAAAACAGGCUACAGCCCAGGGACCUGGUCUGUAAAUGGAACCCAGAUCAUAAGAACUAACUCCAGCAACUUGAACAAUGGAUGAAAUUCUUUUUAUUUACCCAUAGAUUACCUUAAUUUUCCCUGACCUUUUCCUCAUGAGUAAGUGCAUGUGGGGGGGAAAGGAAAUACACAAAUGGGAUUCUGCUUCUCUAAGAAGCACUCUUGAUAACCAUCUUGUUUCACUUUUGUUAUAGUUAUAGAGUGUAUCUGCUCUACCAUCCUUCCCUUGUAAUACCCAAAGACUCCAAGUCAGGCCAAAAAAUCUCAGAUUAACAUUUCGGUAGGCUUUCCAAGACGCAAAUAAUUGAAAAGGGCAUGUUCACCAGGUAGGACUUACAGGAAACCAUCAUCUUUGCAUUCAGUGUGUGCACCAUAAACAAUAGAGCUUGCACUGGGAAUUAUGACCUUGUAAAACCAUGUAGGUGGAGGACAGGUUUGUAUUUCCAGAUUCUGUAACCAUGAUAUUCUAUGAAAAAUCCUUUCCUAGGAUUUUUCCUGUCCUGAGGAGCUGAGAGCCUCAGGAAAGAAAUGUAAACAAUAACUAUCUGCUGCUAUUGGAAUGCCACAGGUGCAUCUUUCAUUGGUCCAUGUGGAUUGUUUUCAAUUAGUGACCAAUCACAGCCACCUGUGCCAAGGCUGUGAGCAGUCACAGGAUUUUGUUAUUGACUCCUAUUCUGUUCUUGUCUUUGUAGCCUUCUGAUCUUCUUCUCUCUGUUCUUUUAGUAUAGUUUUAAUGUAGUAUUUUAAUAUAAUAUAUAACAUAAUAAAUCAGCCUUCUGAUCAAAAUGGAGUCAAGCCUCGUGUCCUCACACAAGGGGUCAUUGCAGAGACAAGAAGAUUCACCUUUUAUUCCAGGAUGUAUGUGUACUCUUUUUCAUUAAUGUCACAAACAAAUCUCAACCUUGUUAAAAGCCAAUUUAAAGAUAUUUGCCUCCUUGACCAGACAUUGGCACUUCACAAUCUUACUUUUUGACAAUGUGGAUUAAAAAAAAAAAAAAAAAAACCACCCCAAAGCAAGCAGACAAAUUUUUAAAAAAAUUUAAAAAAUGUCCUGCACAAACGGAACCAAAUAGAUUCCUUAAAAAAAUGUACCACAGACUCAAAAGCUCAUGAAUAUAUGCCACUUCUCCUUUCCAGUUAGACCCACUGAUGUAGAUCUGGCUAUUUAACUCUCAGCUUCAUCUUCAAACUAGGACAGUGAACUUGGUCUUGGGGCUUCACCAGACUUCAAGUAUGGGGAGGCCUGGCAGAUUGACUACAUCACACUGCUUCAGACAAACCAAAAAAGCGCUACGUGCUGACCAUGGUAGAUGCCACCACUGGAUGGCUGCAGACCUACCCUGUGCCUCACACUACUGCCUGGAGCAUCAUCUUAGGCCUAGAAAAGUCCUCUAGAGACAUGGCAUCCCUGAGAGGAUCGAGUCAGACAACGAGACCCAUUUCAAGAACAGCCUUAUAAACACCUGGGCCAGAGAACAUAGUAUUGAAUGGAUACAUCAUAUCCCUUAUUAUACACCAGCUGCCGGGAAAGCUGAACGGUGCAAUGCACUGCUUAAGACUACUGUGAACGCACUUGGCGGGGGAAGCUCUUAGAAAUUGAGAAAUGAACUUAGCAAAAGCCACCUGGAUGGUCAGCACCUGAAGGGUCCAUCAAUCGAGCUGGUCCUGCCCAGUCUGAAACCCUGCACACAGUGGAUGGAGAUAAUGUCCCUGUGGUACAUAUGAAAGAUAUUUUAGGAAAGACUGUUUGGAUUAAUCCCACCUCAGGCAAACACAAACAUAUCCAUUGGAUUGUUUUUGCUCAAGGACCUGGUUACACUUGGUGGGUAAUGCAGAAAGAUGGAGAAAGCCAUUGUGUACCACAGGGAAACCUGUGUGUAAAGUUUCAUUGUGAUGCAGAUGGAAAUAGAAUAAGGGGUGGAUAAUGUCCUAGACUGCAAGACAACAAUGUGUAUUCUAUUUGCCAUCUGUUAGUGGUGUGGCAGUUAUUGUCUGUUAAUUGGACUGUUUUCUUUAUCUCUUCCACAAACCAAUCCUCCCUUGGGAGACAUCUGCUGUUAACGGACCACUGAGUGUCACUGCAUGACUGAUAAAAACUACAUCAUCCCAUUAUGAGAUGCUCCACCCAGAGGGAGGAGCCAAGUAUUCCUAACUGGGAAUCUGAGCUCUUUGGGACACCAGCACAGCCUUUCUACUGCAUUCCCAGAGGAGCAGCUGCCUCUUCCACUGGAUCUUCAGAGGAAGACUACACCCUUCUACAGGAUCACUGCUUCAACAGAACCACAUCUGUUCCAGGAGGACUGCAGCCACCAUUUCUAUUGGACUGCUACCAACACCCUGACCCAGAGGGUAUCAGAUUACAAGACUUGACAGGGAAGUGAAAUAGCACAGCAGACCUCAAAGCCAAGAACAAAACACACAGCUAGCCUUGUGAUGAGGCUUCUUCCAGUGCCAGUGAGAAAUACAGCUUCAACGAGGAGCCCAGCUUAUACGGCAUUAAACCACUAGAAUGUGCAGUUCCAGGAACAUGGAAGGAUACAACAAUGACAACUCCAAGAUGCAAAACUACUAAGACCCCAUGAUCUUUCUCCCCUCCAGCACUGUACUUCUUGAAACAAUCUUGGUCUUAACUAGAAAGAGGACCUGGAAUGUUAGACCGAAAAGGCAGGAAUUUCCUACUCUCCCGUGAGGACGGAAGGCCCAGCUCUGCCUGUAGACCAGCGGACACAGCUACAUUAUCAUCCUCCUCCGUGCCACUCCUGGGAGCACAGGCAGUGUGGGCGCGACCCAUCGAUUUCUCCCCACCUGAGCUGAUUCUUUUUAAUAAAGACAUAUAAAAA